GGGGAAUAUUGGACAAUGGGCGAAAGCCUGAUCCAGCCAUGCCGCGUGAGUGAUGAAGGCCCUAGGGUUGUAAAGCUCUUUCACCGGUGAAGAUAAUGACGGUAACCGGAGAAGAAGCCCCGGCUAACUUCGUGCCAGCAGCCGCGGUAAUACGAAGGGGGCUAGCGUUGUUCGGAAUUACUGGGCGUAAAGCGCACGUAGGCGGAUCGGUCAGUUAGGGGUGAAAUCCCGGGGCUCAACCCCGGAACUGCCUUUAAUACUGCCGAUCUUGAGUCCGGAAGAGGUGAGUGGAAUUCCGAGUGUAGAGGUGAAAUUCGUAGAUAUUCGGAGGAACACCAGUGGCGAAGGCGGCUCACUGGUCCGGUACUGACGCUGAGGUGCGAAAGCGUGGGGAGCAAAC
rnacentral:rRNA from 1 species